rnacentral:rRNA from 1 species
GUGGGGAAUAUUGCACAAUGGGCGCAAGCCUGAUGCAGCGACGCCGCGUGGGGGAUGACGGCCUUCGGGUUGUAAACUCCUUUCGCCAGGGACGAAGCGCAAGUGACGGUACCUGGAUAAGAAGCACCGGCUAACUACGUGCCAGCAGCCGCGGUAAUACGUAGGGUGCGAGCGUUGUCCGGAAUUACUGGGCGUAAAGAGCUCGUAGGUGGUUUGUCGCGUCGUCUGUGAAAUCCCGGGGCUUAACCUUGGGCGUGCAGGCGAUACGGGCAUAACUUGAGUGCUGUAGGGGAGACUGGAAUUCCUGGUGUAGCGGUGAAAUGCGCAGAUAUCAGGAGGAACACCGAUGGCGAAGGCAGGUCUCUGGGCAGUAACUGACGCUGAGGAGCGAAAGCAUGGGUAGCGAACAGG